AACGCAUAUUGCGCCCGCCAGCAUUCUGGCGGGCAUGCCUGUCCGAGCGUCAUUUCAACCCUCGCUGCCCCGUCUCCGGGGCGCGGCGUUGGGGACCGGCCAGCGGGGAAUGCUCUGAGACUUCCCCCGGCCGCCCCCGAAAUCCAGUGGCGGUCGCGCCGCGGCUCCCCCUGCGUAGUAUGCAAGCACCUCGCACCGGGAAGCGGCUCGGCCACGCCGUAAAACCCCCAGAGAGGACGUUCCGUCCGACAGGUUGACCUCGGAUCAGGUAGGAAUACCCGCUGAACUUAA
rnacentral:misc_RNA from 1 species